UGCGUAGGCGGCCUGGUCAGUGGGGUGUGAAAUCCCUCGGCUCAACCGAGGAACUGCGCUCCAUACUGCCAGGCUGGAGGGAGACAGAGGUGAGCGGAACUAAUGGUGGAGCGGUGAAAUGCGUUGAUAUCAUUAGGAACACCUGCGGCGAAAGCGGCUCACUGGGUCUCUUCUGACGCUGAGGCACGAAAGCUAGGGGAGCGAACG
rnacentral:rRNA from 1 species